CAAGUCCCUAAAUCACUAGCUGGCAAACUCAUUGAGUGUGGAGCUGGUGAACAGAUUAUAAGAGGAAAAUGGAUACAAACAAUCUGCCUACCAAAUUCAACUAAACUCUUACUCUUUACAAAACAUUUCCCAUUCGAGAAAUGAGUCUUAAACCUGUCUUCAAGACAAAAUGGUGCAAUGGACGUUUCCAAGCUCUCAGUGUCAGCUUCUCAACUCACCAAGAAACCUGAUGCUGACAUUUACUUCCUGUCUUAAGAGAGACCACUGGGAUAUCUACACACCUGUCAGCACAAGAACUCUCUCUGUAAGGUGGCAGAGCUGGUGGUCUUCCUUUGGUGAAUAGAGACAGGCAAGAUUGUAGCUAAUGUUUCAAAAGUAAGCCAGGAAUCAAGUGCCUUCCAUUAUAUAUACUAGAGUCAGGCUUCUCCCAUUAUUUGCUUCCUUGAUUAUUUAAAUUGAGGCACAGGAUUUACGGAGAGUAAAAUUACUUGCACUUGAUUUACCCAUCAAAUAAACAAGGGGGUUGCAUUUCAA